rnacentral:rRNA from 1 species
AUGGCAACGCCCUCGCCCUCAUCUUCACUCCUCCUCGAGGGCCGCCCUCCGGGCCUCUGGCCGCCGCCGGAGUGGAAGAAGAAGACAAAGCCACAGGCGGUUACCAGAGACUGGGCGGACCUGCCGCGUGAUGCGCUUCUACUGGUGCUCGAGAAACUGCACCAGGUGGACGUUCUCCGGGGACCUGAGCUGGUGUGUCGUCCCUGGCACCUGGCUGCCCGCGACGAGCCGUCCUUGUGGCGCCGCAUAGAUUUGCGGUUAAGCCAUCUCCCCGACCCCUCUUCCGUCUGGCGCUUCCACGAGAUGGGCUGCGCCGCCGUCCGGCGCAGCCGUGGGAGCUGUGAGGCGGUGUACAGCGAGGGCGCCAUCGAUGAAGAGGCCAUAUCUCUCCUGGUAGAGUCGGCGCACUUGUUGAAGAGUCUUCGACUCAUCAACUGUAUUUGGAUCAAUGAUAGGAUCUGCUAUAACAUAUCACAUUUAGUUAUGCUUGAGGAGCUAGAAAUCUCAAACUGUGGUGUCCGCAAGUUCUCUUCCACAUGCUUCGCGGUUGGAUACUCUUGCCCGCACCUGAAGCGUUUCCGUCUCAGCAGUUCAUGUUUCAUUAAACGGCCUGUCUGGGGCGCGGUUGAUUGCGAAGUUGAGGGCAUCACCCGGAUGCGUGGGCUACGUUCCUUGCAGCUCUUUGCUCAGACUAUUAGCACAACUGGUUUGGCAGCCAUCCUCGAUAGCUGUGUGCAAUUAGAUUCUCUUGACAUUCGCCAUUGUUUCCAUGUUGAGAUGGGAGAUGAGUUAAUGUCAAGGUGUUCUAAGUUUGAGAUUUUAAGGCUCCCACAUGAUUCUACUGACGACUACGAUCUUGAGUUUUCAGCCCCAGAUAUGAGCACUGAGAGCCCACGACCACGACGCAUGCGCAAUUAUGGGGACGAGGGCGGUGCCUUUUUGGAGGAUGUAUAUUAG